GACGAACCGUGCGAACGUUGUUCGGAAUCACUGGGCUUAAAGGGCGCGUAGGCGGUUGACCAAGUCUGGGGUGAAAUCUUUCGGCUUAACCGGAAAAGUGCCUUGGAAACUGGUCAGCUGGAGGGAGGUAGGGGCAGCUGGAACUUCCGGUGGAGCGGUGAAAUGCGUUGAUAUCGGAAAGAACGCCGGUGGCGAAAGCGAGCUGCUGGACCUUUUCUGACGCUGAUGCGCGAAAGCUAGGGGAGCAAACGGG
rnacentral:rRNA from 1 species